GACAGAGGGUGCAAACGUUGUUCGGAAUUACUGGGCGUAAAGCGCGUGUAGGCGGCCAACUAAGUCGGGCGUGAAAUCCCACGGCUCAACCGUGGAAGUGCACUCGAAACUGGAUGGCUAGAGUCCUGGAGAGGAAGGUGGAAUGCUUGGUGUAGAGGUGAAAUUCGUAGAUAUCAAGCGGAACACCGGUGGCGAAGGUGGCCUUCUGGACAGUGACUGACGCUGAGACGCGAAAGCGUGGGGAGCAAACAGG
rnacentral:rRNA from 1 species